AUUGGUUUCCGUUUGCAAGUGUGAUGAUUGGGUUUUCACACCUUCCUGUAACACGUGCCUCCCUCAAACCUUGUUACAACAUCAGCUUAUUACCCACCUGAUG
rfam:Loxodonta africana unplaced genomic scaffold scaffold_17, whole genome shotgun sequence.